CUGAGUAGGAGGAGCUUUUUAUUUUGCAGGUGGAAUUGCAGGGGAAGAAGAACCCUGGAAAUUUGGCCUCAGGAAAGACCAAGAGGUGGAAUUGCAGGGGAAGGAGAACCCUGGAAAUUUGGCGUCAGGAAAGACCAAGAGGUGGAAAUGCAGGGAAAGAAGAACGCUGGAAAUUUGGCCUCAGAAAAGACCAAGCGGUCGCAUUACAGGGGAAGAAGACCCCUGGAAAUUUGGCGCCAGGAAAGACCAAGAGGUGGAAUUGCAGGCGAAGAACAACGCUGGAAAUUUGGCCUCAGAAAAGACCAAGAGGUGGAGAUGGGACUUUUCAGCAGAGGGUGAAACUACAGGUUUGUGGAAUAAAGGAUGAGAGUGGGAGGGAGUUUUAAUGCGCUACUCCUUUCCCUUUUUUCCUUUGAUUCCAAGGGUAAAGUUUCAGUUGUUUAGUAGCGU